GUGAGUCAUCGAAUCUUUGAACGCAUAUUGCGCUCUUUGGUAUUCCGAAGAGCAUGCUUGUUUGAGUAUCAGUAAACACCUCAAAGCUUUUGGAUUUUUUAAUCGAAAAGCUUUGGACUUGAGCGAUCCCAACACCAAUCUUUUUGAGAUCGGUGGCGGGUUGCUUGAAAUGCAGGUGCAGCUGGACAUUCUCCUGAGCUAAAAGCAUAUUCAUUUAGUCCCGUCAAACGGAUUAUUACUUUUGCUGCAGCUAACAUAAAGGGAGUUUGACCGUAUUGGCUGACUGAUGCAGGAUUUCAC
rnacentral:misc_RNA from 1 species